rnacentral:lncRNA from 10 species
UCACUUGAGCCUGGGAGGUGGAGGUUGCAGUGAGCCGAGACUGCACCACUGCACUCCACCCUUGGUGACAGAGUAAGACCCCGUCUAAAAAAAUAUAAGUCACAGACUAUUCUAACUUGAGAAGACAAAAUGAUCAAUUUGAGACUGUUCCAUGUCAGACUUCACAAAAGGAUAAGGCAUAAAUCUCUGUUCCAAAGCAGCCAGGUAAAGCUACUGAAAUAAUUAUCUUGACCAUAAUUAGUAACAGAAGUUCGAAUGUAAACUGAGUGCUCCACAUACCCUUCCUGAAGUCAACUGACCACAAUGAGACACUAGACAGCCAGGGACUGGUCUACGCAAACCAUCAUGUAACAUAUUUGCUGAUUUAGGUCUCACAAAAAUGAGAUGAAAGAAAGAAAAUGGGAGGGCUAUAUAUAAAGCGUUUUGUUCAUUUAUUGCAUCCCAGGAGACUAGCUUCUGCUUUUAAAGCAUGGCCUUCGAGAGUGCUUACUUUGGGAUCAUGUGGCUGAGGGAAGAAACAUGCUUUCAGAGCAAGUGAAUUAGUUAUAAUCCAGGGACCAUCUGCAUGAACAAAGGUGUGAAGGCAAGAAAUUAAACAGCAUAUUUGGAAGACAUGUGCAUCGGAGUAUUAAAAUGAAACCAUUUCCAUCUUGAAUAGGCCCCAAACAACAGAUAAUGUACUACGUUCUCAAGUGAGGCACAAGGGCACCUUAUACAAGGGGUAGUGGAAAACUAUUUUCAACCUUGAGUUACAUCCACCUUCAGUCAUCUUCCGUGUUCAAAGAGUAGAUAUGAAAAGGAUUUUUGCUGAGAGUAAUCAGUUUGUUGUGAGUUGCAAACCCCAUUCUACUUCCCUGCUUACUCCCCUGCAGGGAAAGGGGCUUCAAGGCAUGCUGAUCCUUUACCUCAAAUCUAUGGAAAAUAUGUUACAACUGAAAAAACUCUGAAGGGCACAUAAGUCUGAUUUAAACAACAAUCAAGGCCAAGACGUAUGCCUACUAUCUCCCAACAGUAUAUAAAGGCAUCACAGUGGAGUGGUUGAAAGCACAGACUCUGGAGCCAGAAUGCUCACUCUGCAUGCUGGUUCUGCUAUUUUUACCUGUGUCACCUUAGGCAAGUCAUUAAACAAACCCUCUGUAUCUUACUAUAUUCAGUGGUAUAAGAAAUAUAACACAACACACCUCAUAGAGUUCUGAGGAUUAAAUGACCUAAUAUAUGUUAAGUGUUUAGAAUAGUAACUAGUAACAUAAUCAAUGCUAUAGAAACAUUAGUUGCUGCUGCUACUAACAUUGCUAUCAAAGACCUUUUCUUCCUGAAAGGGCCAGAAACCACAGCCAGCAAAUGAAGAGAAGUGAAAGAAGAAAGUUGGGGAAGAGAGAAAGAAAGAAAAAGGAGGUCUCCAUAUUCCAUGAAAAACAAGGAUAUUGAAAUUAGACCAAUUAAUAACCCUACGAUGGCCUCUAAAUGACCAAGUGAAAGGAAGAGCUGCACGUUUCUCACUUUAUUUUUUUUUAUGAGACGGAAUUUUGCUCUGUCACCCAGGCUGGAGUGCAGUGGCACAAUCUUGGCUCACUGCAACCUCCACCUCCCAGAUUCAAGCAAUUCUCCUUUCAGCUUCCAGAGUAGCUGGAAAUACAGGUGCAUACAACAAAGCCCAG